ACCGAUUCAGUGGUGUAGUUGGCUAGCGCGUGUGAUGGUAACUAGAAAUUUAACUAUCGUAGCUGCGGGUUCGAUUCCCGCCAUCGGCA